rnacentral:tRNA from 1 species
UGGGGUGUAGCUCAGUGGUAGAGUGUAUGCUUAGCAUGCACGAGGUCCUGGGUUCGAUCCCCAGUAUCUUCA